rnacentral:rRNA from 1 species
CAACCUGCCGAUGACUCGGGGAUAGCCUUUCGAAAGAAAGAUUAAUACCCGACGGCAUAGUUCUUCNNCAUGGUGGAACUAUUAAAGAAUUUCGGUCAUCGAUGGGGAUGCGUUCCAUUAGGUUGUUGGCGGGGUAACGGCCCACCAAGCCUUCGAUGGAUAGGGGUUCUGAGAGGAAGGUCCCCACAUUGGAACUGAGACACGGUCCAAACUCCUACGGGAGGCAGCAGUGAGGAAUAUUGGUCAAUGGACGAGAGUCUGAACCAGCCAAGUAGCGUGAAGGAUGACUGCCCUAUGGGUUGUAAACUUCUUUUAUACGGGAAUAAAGUGAGGCACGUGUGCCUUUUUGUAUGUACCGUAUGAAUAAGGAUCGGCUAACUCCGUGCCAGCAGCCGCGGUAAUACGGAGGAUCCGAGCGUUAUCCGGAUUUAUUGGGUUUAAAGGGAGCGUAGGCGGACGCUUAAGUCAGUUGUGAAAGUUUGCGGCUCAACCGUAAAAUUGCAGUUGAUACUGGGUGUCUUGAGUACAGUAGAGGCAGGCGGAAUUCGUGGUGUAGCGGUGAAAUGCUUAGAUAUCACGAAGAACUCCGAUUG